UACGUAGGGGGCGAGCGUUGUUCGGAAUUAUUGGGCGUAAAGGGUGCGUAGGCGGUUUGGUAAGUCUUGUGUGAAAUCUCUGGGCUCAACUCAGAGUCUGCACGAGAAACUGCCGGGCUUGAGUGUGGGAGAGGUGAGUGGAAUUCCUGGUGUAGCGGUGAAAUGCGUAGAUAUCAGGAGGAACACCUGUGGCGAAAGCGGCUCACUGGACCAUAACUGACGCUGAUGCACGAAAGCUAGGGGAGCAAACAGG
rnacentral:rRNA from 1 species